UACGUAGGGGGCAAGCGUUGUCCGGAUUUAUUGGGCGUAAAGAGCUCGUAGGCGGCUUGUCACGUCGGGUGUGAAAGCCCGGGGCUUAACCCCGGGUCUGCAUUCGAUACGGGCUAGCUAGAGUGUGGUAGGGGAGAUCGGAAUUCCUGGUGUAGCGGUGAAAUGCGCAGAUAUCAGGAGGAACACCGAUGGCGAAGGCAGGUCUCUGGGCCACUACUGACGCUGAGAAGCGAAAGCAUGGGGAGCGAACAGG
rnacentral:rRNA from 1 species